AUACGUAGGUGGCAAGCGUUAUCCGGAAUCAUUGGGCGUAAAGGGUGCGUAGGCGGCUUCUUAAGUUUGUAGUGAAAUCGUAGGGCUCAACUCUAUCUAGCUACAAAAACUGGGAGGCUGGAGUGCGGUAGAGGCUAGUGGAAUUCCUAGUGUAGCGGUAAAAUGCGUAGAUAUUAGGAGGAACACCGGUGGCGAAGGCGACUAGCUGGGCCGUAACUGACGCUGAGGCACGAAAGCGUGGGGAGCAAAUAGGAUUAGAUACCCUAGAAGUCCACGCCGUAAACGAUGAAUACUAAGUGUUGGAGAAAUUCAGUGCUGCAGUUAACGCAAUAAGUAUUCCGCCUGGGGAGUAUGCACGCAAGUGUGAAACUCAAAUGAAUUGACGGGG
rnacentral:rRNA from 1 species